rnacentral:misc_RNA from 1 species
GAUGAAGAACGCAGCGAAAUGCGAUACUUGGUGUGAAUUGCAGAAUCCCGUGAACCAUCGAGUCUUUGAACACAAGUUGCGCCCGAAGCCAUUAGGCCGAGGGCACGCCUGCCUGGGCGUCACACGUCGUUGCCCCCCCAUCUACUCCUUCGGGAUUGCGGGGGGCGGAUGAUGGCCUCUCGUGCGCCUCGUCGCGCGGUUGGCCUAAAUGCCAAGUCCUCGGCGACGCACGCCACGACAAUCGGUGGUUGCGAAACCUCGGUUGCCUGUCGUGUGCGGUCGUCGCGCAUCGAGGGCUCGAAAAAAUUGCCGGGCUUCGGCUCGACUUUCAACGCGACCCCAGGUCAGGCGGGGUUACCCGCUGAAUUUAAGCAUAUCAAUAAGCGGAGGA